AUUGUAUUAUAUAUCCCUAGGUUUGGAGAAACUUUUAGUUGUAACGGGAACACGGGUGGUACACUACGUGUUUUUAUGUAAGUGGUGGGAAAUUUUAUUUUUUAAGUUAUUAACUUUUUAACACUCAUAUCCCACCAUUUAUAUAGCGACACGUGAUGUAACACUCUGUGUGACGRUCACACUGAAAAAUCUCUUCUAGAUUUGGGGAGGUAAGGCAU
rnacentral:pre_miRNA from 1 species